rnacentral:rRNA from 1 species
UUUUUGUUUAUAAUAUAAAGUCUAACCUGCCCACUGAUGAUUUAUUAAAUGGCCGCGGUAUAUUGACUGUGCAAAGGUAGCAUAAUCAUUUGUCUCUUAAUUAGAGGCUGGAAUGAAUGGUUGAAUGAAAUAUUAACUGUCUCAUUUUUAAAAGUAUAAAAAUUUAGCUUUUAAGUUAAAAGGCUUAAAUUAAUUUAAAGGACGAGAAGACCCUAUAGAUCUUUAUAAUUUAGUUAAAUUAAAUAUUAGUUAAAUAAAAAUUAAUUUAAUGAAGAUUAUUUUAUUGGGGUGAUAGUAAAAUUAAGUAAACUUUUAUUUAAAAAUAAACAUUAAUUUAUGAAUUAUUGAUCCAUUUUUAGUGAUUAUAAGAUUAAGUUACCUUAGGGAUAACAGCGUAAUUUUUUUAAAGAGUUCUUAUCGAUAAAAAAGAUUGCGACCUCGAUGUUGAAUUAAAGUAAUUUUUAGAUGUAGCAGUUUAAAAUUUAGGUCUGUUCGACCUUUAAAUCUUU